rnacentral:rRNA from 1 species
UAAAGUGGCGAACGGCUGAGUAACACGUGGGCAACCUGCCCUUUGCACUGGGAUAGCCUCGGGAAACCGAGGUUAAUACCGGAUACUCCAUAUUUGUCGCAUGGCGAAUAUGGGAAAGCUCCGGCGGCAAAGGAUGGGCCCGCGGCCUGUUAGCUAGUUGGUGGGGUAGUGGCCUACCAAGGCAAUGAUGGGUAGCCGGGUUGAGAGACCGACCGGCCAGAUUGGGACUGAGACACGGCCCAGACUCCUACGGGAGGCAGCAGUC